GGGUCGGAUGGUGGAACUGGUCCCACCACCAGACUGUAACUCUGGCGCUCUAACGAGCAUUGUAGGUUCGAAUCCUACCCGACCCACCA
rnacentral:tRNA from 1 species